UCCACUGGUUUGGAUCUUCGUUUGCCUUCGCUGUUGUUCCGGCAGUACGUUCAGUUUCGUGCACGUCGAUGAUUCCGUUGGUGUAACGGAGUUACUUGGUUAUUUCGACCGCGGUCGUCGUCCCUGAUUGUUGAUCGUCUCGUCAAUAGAGUUGUAAAGUCAAUUCGCGAUCGAAACCGGGAAACGAGGAGUAUAUACACAUCGACAAACGAAAGCCGGUUCGCAUGUUCCUCUCGCACACGCGUUACCGAAAGCGGAAGGAAGUCUAUGGUCGAUGGAAGAGAUAUAGUGAAGUCGUAAAAUCGGUCAGGAACUAGAGCCACAUAGAUACCUUUUAAGGAUUCAAACAAAAGUAAAGUAAUUUGAGACUAUUGAUUUGAGAAUUUUCGGGAUUAUAACGAACCUAGAGCCUCGUUCAGGGCCGUACGAUGUCAACUCGGAGCUAUUUCUUACCGCGUUUUUCGUAGAUAUACGUUUUAAUUUUUAACAACUGUAAAUGAAUUUUUGUUAAUUUAGGCGAUUGUUACUAAGACAUUGAAGGGAAUUUAAUAUCGUAAAACUUUAACGAAACACUAAAAGUAAUACGAUUUUAAUAUGUUUCAUGUCGUGCUAACGUGAUUUAUCAUCCAGACCGCGUGGAUCAUUGCCGAACCACGCGAUACAAGACUUAUUACUGCAAGAUUUUUUGUAAUCUAAUAUUUAAAGAGCUUCUAUGCGAUACGUACAUACAUACUAUGCAAUACAUCAAUGAAUCUCUCCGUUUAAUGCUUUAAUUUAUGACUUCACUACGGCAGUGCCCCGUUAACUGGCCAAGUUUUUACAUAGAUAAUAUCAGGGACUCGCUUUACGAAUUUAAUUGCAAGAAUUAGUAGGGAUAACGAUGGUCAGUUAACGUGGCACUACGAGAGUAUGGUUCCAUCGACUAUACUUCUCGUCCACGUCUCUCCGUUUUGUCCCCACUCUACUCGGUUCUUCGUUUUUCGCUCCGUUCGAAACGUUCCUUUCCACCUUCUGUCUCAUUUGUCUCCUACUCCUUCACGUUCGUUCUCGAUCGUGUGCCACGCUUCCGGCUGACAGUGCGGUUUUCGGGCCUGCGCGACUCGCCAAUAUAGUAUCCUUCCUUCUCCUGUGCGAUUCUCAGUGAUUUACGAAUCUUCUGACGAAUCUAUUUCUUCGAGCUUACUCGUCGUCGAUAGAGUAAAUAAAGGAAGACCGCGUCGAGACAUCGUGCACUUUACUUAAGAGUGCGUCAUAUCUCGUAUCUGGAAAUGGUGCACCUGUCCGUCUUUUUCGUUCUAUGUCUUCCAACGAAGGAUCGAUCGAAAACCUUGCAAGGAUUUGGUUGUGAAGCCCCGGUAUCGACGAUGGUCGCCGAAUAUGUACUACUGGAAAAUGAAACGCCUUGAACGUUUGGUGAGUGAACAUUCUGCCUUAAAUUUAUAGCUUCUUUUAUGAUUUUUGCGCUUCCAGGCAUUAAUUUACGAUAAUGUGUUAUGAGAUCUUGUAUACUCGCGGAAAUCGAAUUUUUAUAGUCAAAUAUGUUUGUAAAGGGAUGCUCACAAAAAAGAUAGACUGACGAUUUUAUUCGUUAGGAACUUUUUCAAAGUUGAUGAUUUAUCGAUACCCAUGUCGGAACGGGAACGACGUGGGAUUAUGUAACGCGCGUAAUUUGAACAUGUAUACCACGUGUACACUUAUGUUACUAUUUUUACUUCAUCAUUUCUCUUCUUACCCAUUUAAGAUUGUUCGAUCGAAACAACAGAAAAAAAUCAUUAAUUUAAUUGUGAUUUAGCCGGAAGUCAUAUUCUUAAUAUGCCUAAUAAACAUACGUAUUACGAUUGAAACCGUUGAGUUGAUUCGAACACGAGGAAUACUGGAAAUGGGUAGGCGGGUGUCGUUAGACACGGACACGCCCAUUGGUCGGGCUCAUCGUCGUCCGUAUGUUUCGCGAAGCUUAAUUAAAUUAAACGCCUUGUAGUGGUUUUCUAAGGUCGUUUGGUGUCGCACCAUAUUUGGCUGCCUAAAGCACAUUUCGCCCUUGUGGAUUCAUGUUUCGAUAUUUUUUCCUGUGUUUCUUUCCGUACCAAUUAUUCAAACAUGAUCUGGUCGGGUUAUUAUUAGAUUCGUUUCGGUUGGGAUAGUUGAGGAAGAAGGGGGAACGUUAUCGAGAGGACCGCGUCUUGGCUUCGUGUCACGCUACGCGAUACGUGACAUGCCGUCGAAUAAUUUCUUCAAACGAUUUCAGAACGUAGUUUGCAUCUCAGAAUCGUCUGCAUAUACGUUUAGUUCGAGGAUAUAUUGCAACGAUCAAACUUUUGAAAAAGUCUCAAGUUUCGAAUUAAAUAAAAUCAUCGAGUUCAUGGAAAGUUGUUAAAUGUACUAUUUAAAAAUUGAAAUAUUUAAAAUCAGACGUUCAACGAAUGAAACUAUUGAAACGAUUACAAACUAGAAUCAAGAGUGUCCAUCUCGUCAUACGCACGCCCUUAUCCUGUCGAAUAAAACGGACGUUCGACACCAGAGCGCGUUGCGUCUUGUAUAGCAACGCGUAUAAUAUGCACAGCGCACACUGUGAACUCGUGUGCGAGUAGUCUGGCGCCAGCAGGUGCAGUUAAAUAUAGCUUAUGCAACGGGUAUCCUCCUUCCUUUCUUUUUCUCUUCUUUAUUCUCCUUUCUUCUAUCCUCCUUCCCUUGCCCCACGAAAAAUGGCACAUAAACAAAUGUGAAGUAAUAAAAGAUACUAAUUCCUCCUUAUGAAGGAUCCGAUAUUUUAGAAUAUUUGUAAUCGACAGAGAGCACGUUCUCGCAAUAAAUUAAUACAAAUAUUUUGUUUACACCAGUUCGCACGGCGGAAAUAUUGCGUUUCGAAAUGUAUCGAUGUAUCCUUUGUCUUUCGCGAUUUCGACAAGUAGAAGGGAAACAACCGCGAAAACGAAGUUUUUCGAGAGACAUUAAAAUCUAACACGGUUUUGUGUACCUGCGUGUGCGGGUGCGUUAAUCUCAUCUUUUCGGAAAUUCUUCUAAUCGCCUGCCAACAUACAUUUUCUAUGUUUGCUUGUUUUUUGUUGUCAUUCGUGGACCGAAAUAUUUUCGAAAGUUUUCAUUGAAUUUUAUCUUUCUUUUUCUUCUUGCAUUGUUUAUCGUAUAUUCGAUAAAAGAAUGGGGCUACAAUUUUCGUAAGUAGGCUAGAAAAUUAAUUCACGCUCAAGUUUAGUUGAAACGAUUCUUAUGUACGAAAUGACGACUUCGGUUUACGGAAAUUAUGGGAGAGAAUUCGCAUUCCCGGGAGCACUAAUUAAAUUUUACUGCAGCCCAUGAAAUUACUCCAUCAUAUCGCGGAAUAGUGUAUCGAAAAACUUUUUUAUUCCUUUUUUGCGCGCAGGACGUCGUUCGAUUCCUCCUUGGUGAACAAGACCAGCCAUCUUUAAGUAAAAAAAGAACAUAUUAAUGCUCAUUAUGGAUAUUAGCCUUCGGCCAUUUGCAUAAAGGCGGAGACGUUGAUACAACUGGUCGUGCGAUAACGAGCGACGGAUGGCAUGACUGGUUGCCAGAGAAUUUUUAUUUUUUUCCCCCCUUCCUUUCAUUUUUAUCUUUCUCUUUUCUAUUCCCUCGCGCGUGCGCGCUUGCAUGACUAACAAAGGAAAGAAGAGAAGAAUCGUGAAUUGUCGAGAUUUCAUUUCGUUCUAGUACAGAGCUCACGAAUAUUAGUUUAGCAAUUGUGCAUAAUGAAGAGAAGUUUAUCGAAACAACGAUCAUUUUAAAUUUUGUUGAAUCUUUGAAUUUUUAAAUUUCGAACGUUAAAAUUUGGCAUCGUUUUUAAACGGUUUCUAAAUAAUUUCAAAUUUAUAUAGACAUGGCAUUAGUUAUAUGAAAUAUAGUCUCCACAUGAUUGUGUUAUUUCGUGUCUUUCCACGGGAGAAGAAUAUCUCGUAGGAAGAAAAAUCUCUACUUAAGUUGCAUGCCGUGAGUCGCUUCAUAAAACCGGUUGCCAGAUACAUACACGGAAAUGUAAAUUUACAGAAGAAGCGGCUCUGAAUACUGCGAGAGAAAAAAGAGAAGCUGCUUAUGUUGAAUGCAGCUUCUGCAUACGUGAAAUUACGUUAGCCACGGAAAUAAUAUACAUAUGUUUAAUAAAAUCAAGGAAAUGAUCGUUGAGAUUAACAGACGAGCUAAAAUAAAAGGGAAUGAAAUAUUUAUCUUGACGUUUUUAUUAUGUUACGUGCGAGAGCAAAAAAUGGCGGGAGUAAAAAAGGCGAAUUAACAAGUUAAAAGCAUAAUCGCGGGUAUAAAAACUUGAAUACAAACUUGCCUUAAUACUCUGUCACAACCGUUAGGACAAGUGUUUGGUUGUAUUGAUAAUAUAGGUAAUGUCGGAUUGUAUUACUGGCGUAUUGAAAGUUUUAAAAAAAAUCGAUGACAUUGGAUGUAUGUACACUCGACCUCAAUUCAUUAAACCUCAUGACGAUAUAUACAUAUAAACUCGCGUAUUAUUCGGUUGGUUUAAGCAUUAAAGUCAUCCUCGAUUAUGUAGGUAUACGCAUAUAGUUGAACAAGAAAGAGACAGAGAGAGAGAGUAAUGUGGACGGAUGGUUGGGAAUGAAUAGGAGAAAAGUGGAUGUGUGCCCAUAGGCGUCGCCAUUUGCAUUAUUAAAUGAGAACUUUAUUUACUUCAAACUAAACGUAAUAUCACGUGAAAACCGAAUGCAAUGAUAUGUAUUAUAUUUUUUUACAAUUAGCUAACGUUUGAGUAAGGACUAUGUAAAGGCUAUGUAAUCGUUGUUAUGUGUUGAAAAGUGCAAGCAGCGCAAUGGUGUCGACACUAUAUUACAUAAAAAAGGGAAAGUUUGAAAGUCAUUGAAAAAAAAGGAGAAAUAAGAAGUAUAGAUUUGGUGUGAUUUUAUGCCGCGUACGAAAGUCUUGCGACGCCCAUGCGUAUGAGGAAAAGGGUGGAGCGAGGAGGUAAGAGGUAGACGAAGCACAGCGAGAUGCCUUAGGAUCGAGUCUCUCCCUGACGGCGUUUAUUUAUUACCAGUAUUAAUACCAAGCCCCGCAGAGUCGGUUGGUGAUUACAUAAAACAUGCUUGCCCCUCCUACCAUCGGAGGCAACCCCCUCAUCUCCACCCUGCUCGCCUUCUAUCUGAACGAUGCUAUCUCCCGUGGUAAUGGGGCUUGGCAAACGAAUCUAUUCGAAAAGAAAAGGAAAGAAGGAAAAGAAUGAAAAAGCAGAGGAACAUUCGUUCGGCGUAUCUUGGGUCGAUUUCGCGUGGAAAAAGAGGUGCAACCGUCGUGAUCGCAUAGUUCGGAUUUUACGAUCGACGACCUCUAGGUAUUGAACUUGACCCAAACGCGAAACGUGGUUAGCAGAUUCUAUACUACAGGUUAAUCAUAAGCACUUGGUGAGAAUUUGCAGCUAUUUGCAGCCAUGUUGCUUCUCUUGACUUGCUAUAUUCUCUGUGUAUUCAUUAUCGAUAUCUUUUCCUUGGCAGAUGUUGCUUGCUCUAUAUCUUUGUCCUCAUUCUAACAGUCCUGAACGCUUUCAAAAAGCUUGAACUAUAUAAAAUUAAUAACGAACGUCUACGCCCUUCUUGUUAACAGUCCAAUCGUAAAUGAAUAAUAGUUCCUUCUUCCUGCUCUUCCCCAACUCCUCCAACGGUUUUCUUUAGUUCCCUGCACGUUUUCUUUACCGCACUUAUUUGCACCUUGGCAUCGCCUCUUUUUUUACGCUCGGUGCACUAAACGUAUAAAGCGGGCAAUGACUUCUACGCGCUUUAUUGUAAUCUCUGAGAUCUCUGGGAACCACUUUUUCGCACGUUUAGUUGUUUCUUUACCAACGGACCAAUGACCAUUGCCAACUUCGAGAAAGUACGGCACUCGGUAACGGGAAACGUGUGUUGGUCCACGAUUGUUUCUUAGAAGGAGAAAGAAAAAAGCGAGAGGAUGGCGUGUGAGAGAGAGAAAGAGAGAGAGAGAGUGAGAGGGGUCGGCGGAGUGAGUGAGGGUAAAGGAAAGAGCGAAGAGAACGAGCUAAAGAAAGAAACGAGCCACGAGAACAACGUGGACGAAACGAAUGGACGAAGAAAGAUACGAAAAGGGCAAGGGACGAACUCUGAGGACGGCGGAUUAAAGCUAAAAACAUCGGACGGAGUAUCUGUUCACAUCUUACCGGGCAGCAUUAGAUUGAAGUUGAACCUUCUAAUACUGUCAGGUAAAGAUGUCGUCAGGAUUCCGAAAUCAACGUGAUUGGAAUUGUCAUCGGGCUGGGAUAAUUUCACUUGAAUAUUGUCGUUGUUCGGAUCUGAUCUAUACUGAAUUCGAAACAACCGGCAAUUGGUGUCGUUAAAAGCGUGCUCUUUUUAUGGAUUGUAUAUUUCAAUAUGAUCUAGUAAAAGCUAACUCUGUAUGCUAAAAUAUGUGUAUAAGAAUCGAAGUUACGAAAUACAAGAACAGUUCAAAUUUGUCGUAAUCGGUUUUUAUGGAUGAAUCGCGUAUGUUAUAAGUUUGAACUUUCUUUGUAUUUUUCAGAUCAGAUAAUAUGUAAUAUAGAGAAAUAACUAUGUUAAUGUAGUAUUUUAUAUUAGUUUUAGGUAUAGACUAACGUAGAUGUAAGUAAAUUAAUUAAAGAAUAGUAAGUAACUGCCUAUUAUGUAUAUUAGAAAACUGUCCUGUAUUACAAUUUAAGUUCUGCGCGACAUGUGAUAUGGUAUGAUGUGUCGGAUCUCUAAAUUUCUUAUUCUAAUAUUAUUUCAUUAGUAUAGCUAGAAUUUCAAGAUCGAGGCAGUCGAUGUGUAUUUUCGUGGCACGCGUGAGUCAAAGUGUUGUAAGGGAGGGGGUGAGGUCACCUCUAAGUGAACCGAACAGGAAUGAUAAAUAAAAUAAAAGGAAAGAAAUAUUUGACUUAAGAAAGAUAUAUUAUAAAUUCACGAAUAGGAUCUUCUUGAACGAUUGAACUAAAUCUUAGGCGACCAAAACCUAUUCGUGGAUCAAGCUACUCAUAUUUUCUUACAUUUCCAUCUUCACCUGUUUCAACCUAAUGUUCCUCGACGAAAAAUAGCUCCGACUGACUGUAAAAAAUGGUGGCUGGAAGUCACGUGAGAGAAAUGGUCGGUUAAUAAUUUUCCAUCGGUGGAAUUAUGCGGUGCGUGCGGCACAUGCAUAAAUCCACUGCACGUGUACACGUGACACAAGUGUAUACUAUCCCUAUAAAUACAUUCACGCGGAGUGAGUGUGUCUCGAUUCGAGAGCAACAUGUAUGGUUCUCUCUCUCUCUCUCUCUCUCUUUCUCUAUGUGGCUUCGUAGAACGUAGAGUAUAGAAAAUCGGUAGGAGGUAGAAAACGAAGCUUCUAAAAGCCGCGGCCUCGGUGUCCUGGAGAGAGAAGAGUGUGUAGGCGCGUGAGGAAUGUAAUGCUUCGAAAACGUUGCCGCGAUCGUAAAGCAUCGCGUGGGUCUCUUCGUGAGGGGUUGCGCGAGCAAAUAAAUUCGUUCGGCCGUCACGCCGCCAUUUUUACCCUCGUCGAUCGGUUGGCUGAUGAUGUCGCUCGUAUUGCAACGUACUUAUAUAGAUAGGUGGUAAAUUCUUCGAUGAGCUUAUUGGAGAAUCAUUGUGGCGGAAAUUGUGCGGCAAAUUGUUGAUGCGAAUCGAGGAUACUUCGUGACGCUAAUGGUCGAGUGUUAAUCUUAAUUUUCAGUUUUCUUUUUUGUAAUCGUGAAAUGACCUCUGCGUUGAAUAUUUGUAGAUUAUUCAGCUACUUCGGAUAGUCUUAGGCUAAUCAUCAACGAGAUAUUUUUGCAAAUACUUGAUUUGAAAAAAAAGAAUCAUGGACUUCGGGUUGGUCGUUGGUAAGCUGGAAAAAGUGAAGAAAUCCGGUUCAGAAACGGGAUCGUAAUAGCGGCGUGUUUUGCACAAAGGUGCUAAUAAAAAGAGGAGUGUCCUUGCAACCAAGAUGGAGGGAUAUAGGAAAAGCAUAAGUAAUUGAAAUAAUCGCACGACAUCUUAUGCGCAUCUUAAGCAGCUGUUGCAACAGCGCGUGUAUUUUAUAACUGCGAAGUAACGUGCAUGGAUCUCUUUAUUCAUUUAUUCGUCUCGCUUGCAAGAGGUAGGCACGUAAAGGCAAAGUGCAUACUGUGUAACUCUACGGAGAGUAUCAGCUUAAAAAUUGAGAUUGAAACGAUCGGAUAAAAAUAAUAUUGUUGCAGAGAUAGAACCACUGUAAAUUAUAUAGCCUAAUAUAUACAGGCAAAAAAGUACACCGAGGCGAAAAAGGGGAAGAGUAUGACAAGGACAAAAGUAUUCAUAGAGCUUAGAUGGCUAUAGUGUAGAGAGAGAUAUUACACGAGGAAUUUAUAGUAUUGAAAAAUCAUUAGACAGAAACUCUUAAUUAACAUAAACAAUUCAUUGCAUGAAAAAUAUAGAAGCUAAAAGAAACAUCGUAUAGAAAAUCAGUAUUAUAAAGAAUCCAUUGUAUAGAAAAUACGUAACGCAAGAAGAGCUAGUGACAUAAAAAAAUCAUUCUACAUAUCGUGCGAACAGUGUAAUGCAACAAAACCUGCGACCAAGGGGUCGUAUGGAAAAUUUAUGCCACGAAAUAUAAGUGAAACAUGCACUAUAAAAAAUUGUAUGCUAUUUUAAUAUUUAAGAGGACGCUGGUAAUAAUUACUUUAGGUACCUUCCGCAUGAAAAUUCGAUCCAUCAAGAAUAGAGUCAAAGCUCUCGUGACUUUUCCCUAUUAUCCCCCGCACUCGUGGAUGUCGGUUGACGCGUUCGAAGCACUUUGGCCAAUGGCCAGGGCCGUUUUAGAAAGAUAUCUGGCCGGAUCGACGGCUCAAGAAAGUACCGUGCAUAGAUGCCUCUCGAAUACAACGGCUCGCUUGUCUUGUACGAAUUGUUCCAGGAAGGAACAAUAUUCCGUCAAUAGCCUGUAUUGUCUGAUGGAGAAAAAAGGAGAAAGAUUAAGAUGAUCGACAGGAAAAUGUUAUAGCGUUCGAGG